UAUUGUGACAUAUAAUGUAAUCAGUAUUUCUACACCACAUAGGAAUCUCUAUAUCACAGUCACGGUUAUCCUACAGUCACAAAUUUUUAUAUCAGUCUGCGUCUGUUUUGAAGCUAAAUGUCUUAUUCGGAUGUUCAAAAACGUGCCAUGGUUCGAAAUAAAAUAAAUCUAAAUCUAUUUAUUUCUAUUGAUUAUUUGUUUGCAAAAGUUAAAAUGAAGCAAUGCCUUCUGGGAAUUUGAAGACUGACUCGAGUAGACCGCAUCUGCGUGCUUGUUGGAAGGUGACUGAGAUUAAGCUAGCAUCAUAUGAAUCGAGGCAUCAAGAGACACAAGCGGGGAGCGGAGAAAAAGGGAGAAAUCUAAGAGAGCACUGUUGGCUGGCGGUGAAAAAUGCUGCAAACUGACUGAGUUGUUUUGAAAAUCAAGUGCAGCUUGAGCUAGCACUAACGCUAAUACUGCUAGCACUAAUGUUAGCGACACAGCUGAGCCAGCACACCUGGGAGAGAGACAGGACAGAGGAGAAUAUGAGCCAGAGGAAGAACAAAACGAGCAAGAGGAGGAUGAAGAGGUAGACAUGGAUAACUGCAUGACGGUCGACAUCAUUCGUCAGUGAUAUCCCAAAAAUCAACGGGGCAAUCAACCAAAAACACGGCUCCAACAAAACAGCCCCUCGGUGCGCAGGUUCUGACAGACAGAGCUCCUUCACAUGAACUUCAGACGGCUUUUCGGCCUCCACCGCCGAUGAAAUGGCUCUCGCAUUCCUGGUGAGGAGUGACCUCUCAGCACCCCCAGCUGUGACUGACCUCCAGUGUCUCCUGAUUUAUGCUCAUCAUACACCGAGUGUCACCGAUUCAUUUCACUCAGGUGUGAACUAGUGGAGCGACAGCGAUUCAACCUCUCGUGUGUCAACCUUUUGCACACUUCCCUGUCCAAAUAGCCAAUCAGGAUCCAUUUAGGCAGCAGUGGCCUGGAACAGGAACUGACAGGCCUGGCAGAGGUGUGCUGCGCCACAUGUGAGCAAUGGAAGUCCUCAGCAGGCCAGGGUUGAAAUCCAUACUGUGGUUUGCACAGACACUGCUGAUUACCACACUGCUGGUGCAGACGUGCAGGACAAGGUUGUCAGGUCUAAUCGUCUAAUGGACAGAGAGUGAAGUCACCCCAAUAAUGACUGAUUCCUAGAGAGGUUUUAUUUCAUUCAGCCUUUAAUUAAUUUGUCAGUAAUGGUAUGCAGUCUAAAUCCAGUCUUUUUUUAGUUGUGCUAUGGUCGUAUUUGGACUGUCAAAACUGAACAAAGACAGUUUUCUCCUUCCUUGUCCUCAUUUUAUAAAUGUCCACAUAAUAUUUCAAAUAGCAUUUUUAUCUGUUUAAAGUAGUAAUUCUUAAAUGGUAUACUAGCAAAGCACAAUAACAAAGAGCAGUUCCUUCUGCACAAGAUAAAUGCACGGCUUCUUGGAAACCAGCACUGUUAUUUUGUUCUCCAUUAUUUGUAUUUAUCCUAUGUAAACUUUAGCCCUUGGACUGUGGUUCUGCCGCCAGAUCACCUUUCAGGAGGCCUGCAAUUUCAGUGUCCUGCCUCUACGCUCGGAUUAGUUUGGUUUAAACAAACUGGCUCUGGGCUUUGUGAAGCACUUCAGGCCACAAUCGUUGUUGAGAGCCCAAUCAGACACUUGCAGCCACAAGCUCUCUUUGCCUCCCUGUUUUUACACUUCAGCAGGUACCGCUACUAUUUUUAAAUUCAACAACAUGGUGCAUAAUGUCAUAUUUUAUAAUCAAACACACCUUUUAAUAACACUGAUUGCAAAAUUUUAUUUUUCUUAACCUGAUUGCACUGAUUUAAUUCCAUGUGCUUUGUCAGGAUUCCCAAUAUUUAUAUUCAAUUAUGAUAAGUGAUAAUACAGUCAGAGGUGGAAGAAGUGCUCAAAUCUUGUCCUUAAAGGUGCAGAAGGUAAAAAUUUGAAUUGAAGACAUUACAAAAUAUACCAUUAUGAAAAGAAUGUGAAGAAAUAACAAUUAUGAUGUCAUGAUUAGUGGUGUGCUGUCCUCUGGUUGUUUUGACUAUUAAACAGGUGACCAACUCUUAGAUAUUGCACCUUUCAGUAAAAGUAGUAAUAUGACAGUGUAGAAUGAUGCGAAAGUCAAAGUACUCAUCAUGCAGACUGGUAUGUUUCAUAAUAAUAGACUUGCAUUAGUAUAUUAGUAUAUAGUAAUAUAGACUAGCUUGCAUCAGUAAAGUU